rnacentral:ncRNA from 1 species
UCUUAUCCAGAGUAGGUGGAGGGACUGGCCCGAUGAAACCCGGCAACCGUCUAGCGCGGUGCUAACCAGCAGAGUGGUUACCCAUUCUGGCCGAUAAG